UACGAAGGGGGCUAGCGUUGCUCGGAAUCACUGGGCGUAAAGGGUGCGUAGGCGGGCAGGUAAGUCCGUGGUGAAAUCUCUGAGCUUAACUCAGAAACUGCCAUGGAUACUAUUUGUCUUGAAUAUUGUGGAGGUAAGCGGAAUAUGUCAUGUAGCGGUGAAAUGCUUAGAUAUGACAUAGAACACCAAUUGCGAAGGCAGCUUACUACACA
rnacentral:rRNA from 1 species